CAGGAAGCCUCCAGCAUGCUGGGACCUGCUGUGGCCUAGUGCAUUUUUGCAGUCCUUGCCAGGGCAAUUCAGAAUGGUUUGAGGCCUUGCCAUGUUCCAUCCAGAGUGAGGUUAUAGAACUUUCAGGUAGUC